rnacentral:misc_RNA from 1 species
CACGUAGGAGGCGAGCGUUGUCCGGAAUCAUUGGGCGUAAAGAGCGCGCAGGCGGCUUGGCAAGUCGAGUGUGAAAUCCCGGGGCUCAACCCCAGGACUGCAUCCGAUACUGUCAGGCUAGAGGUAGGUAGGGGAGAUCGGAAUUCCUGGUGUAGCGGUGAAAUGCGCAGAUAUCAGGAGGAACACCGGUGGCGAAGGCGGAUCUCUGGGCCUUACCUGACGCUCAGGCGCGAAAGCUAGGGGAGCGAACAGG